rnacentral:lncRNA from 1 species
AUAUAACGGCGUCCCUACCGGCGACCAGACACACGCACCGAUCCUCGUACGGAGCUUCUCAUCUUGGGCAGCCGCAGUCGGAGCACCGCCGAUCCAGUCACCAUGAUCAAGCUUCUGAUUCUCCUUGCCGUGCUGGCUCUCUUCGCCGUCUCGUACACUACUGCCGCCCCGCAGUACCUUCUCUCGUACGGCUACCCGUACCACUAUGGCUAUUACGGCGCCUACUACCCGCACGCCUACUACUACGGACGCUGAACCAGCACCGAUGCGAGGGCAGCGACAGUUCGCGGCGAUUUCUUCGAAAAGGAAUCGAAAUUGCUAACGCACUCAUCCACUGCCAUUGGUGUGAUUUCUCAAGAUCGGCCUUGUCACAUAUCAGCACGUGAAACCUGGAGUCGCACUUAGUCACCUGAGCUGCCCUGCGCAAUCCAACGAUGUCCACCGUUCUAACGUCGGGUCUGCUUCAUUCGGCGAUUUUGGUUCUGAAUUAAAAUUAUUCUAACCAGAU